rnacentral:lncRNA from 1 species
GAAGUCUGCAGACAAAAUGGCUCAUCAAGCUGCUCUGGUCACUUCACCGAACUAGGCCUACACACCAGCAGGAAAAGGACCAGGGCCUGCUCCCAGCCUCAAGGAUGGGAUAAUCCAGCCAGGCAGCACCGGGCUGCUCCAGUCCCACCCUCCGGACUUGCUAAGCUCCUGCGGCAUCCGCACUCCGUCCCCCGGGAUCUGCGGACCGUCCCCUGGGCAGCGGGCAGUGCACCACAGCGCGGUGGGGCGGGCGGGCGGGCCAGGGAAGGUGCCCGGGGCUGGAGCCCCGCUGGCGGGAAAGCCGGGGAGGGGGGGGCACAGCCGGGCGGGACCCCUCUGUCCCCGGCGCCCGCACAGGGGGAGGCAGCCCAGGGAGGGGCUCUGCACCCCGGCACCUUCUCCAGCCGCCACUCGUCCGGCUCCCGCCUCUCGGCCGCCAGCGCCUCGCAGCGGCUCAGCAGCCGCAGCAGGUUCAGCUCCAGGCGAGUAGCCGCCAUCGUUCCGACCCGGAACCGGAACCCGGCCCGCGAACAGUCCACUUCCGGGUCAGCGGCGGCUGCCAAUGUAAACAGCAACGGCUGCCUCCACGUCGCAGGGGCGGGGCUGCCGCCCGCGCGGACACGUCACCGGUGGGGAAGCAAAACAGCCCGGGGGGGGCGCGGCCGGGCUCCCCCAGCGCAGCCGCCGACACGAUCCACGGGUGUCCUGCUCCGCGCGUGGGGCUGCCGCGGCGCCUGCGCAGAGCCAGCCCGGGCCCGCGCCCCGCCAGGCUGGUCCCUGGGCCGGGGCCAUAACCCGCGCAGGGCUGGUCACUGGGCCGGGGCCGCAGCCCGCUGCGGCCUUGGGGGGACGUGGGCGCAGUCCCUGGGUGAAGCCGCGAUCUCCGCGGGCGCGGCCGAGCCGCCCAGUCUUGGUAACGCCCGAGCAAUUCCAGCCCGUCGGAGCUGCCAGGCUCACGCCGGCCGCAUCAGGCGGCUGGUCCCGGUCCUGGUACGUGCAGCCUGGAGGUGA